CAUAGAUUAUUACAUACCCACUAUAGUUAUUUAUUAUUGAAAUUAAAUAUCCGGUCGAUGGUUAAACUCAACUGUCAGCGAGUCGUUCGAAAUAUGAAUUUUUUACCGUCAUCAUUAUUAAAAUCAUUCGUCUAUGGAUGUGCACUCGUGCGGUCAGAACAAUUGAAAGUGUAAAAAUGAUGGUCUCGUUUUAUUAAUUACUCAUUGUACUACCGGUUGAUAUCUAUUUGGUUUCGACUGGUUAGACGGAAAAAAACAAUACAUUUCUUGUUAUUCGAAAACAAUCAUUAUUUAUUUUAGACUCCGAGUGU